rnacentral:rRNA from 1 species
ACGUAGGAGGCAAGCGUUAUCCGGAGUUACUGGGCGUAAAGAGUGCGUAGGCGGACCUGUAAGUGGGUGGUGAAAGCGCCCGGCUAAACCGGGCGAGGUUCAUUCAGACUGCAGGUCUAGAGGCGGAUAGAGGGGUGCGGAAUUCCGGGUGUAGCGGUGAAAUGUGUAGAGAUCCGGAGGAACACCAGUGGUGCAAACGGCGCCCUGGGUCCGAACUGACGCUGAAGCACGAAAGCGUGGGGAGCGAACGGGAUUAGAGACCCCGGUAGUCCACGCCGUAAACGAUGUCAACUAGGUGUCCACUUGGCUACGGUCAAGGGGGUGCCGACGCUAACGCAAUAAGUUGACCGCCUGGGGAGUACGGUCGCAAGGCUA